rnacentral:rRNA from 1 species
UAGGGAAUCUUCCACAAUGGGCGAAAGACUGAUGGAGCAACGCCGCGUGAGUGAUGAAGGCCUUCGGGUUGUAAAACUCUGUCAUUCGGGACGAACCGGAGUCUGAGGAAAUGCAGACUCUCUGACGGUACCGGAGGAGGAAGCCCCGGCUAACUACGUGCCAGCAGCCGCGGUAAUACGUAGGGGGCAAGCGUUGUCCGGAUUCACUGGGCGUAAAGCGCGCGCAGGCGGUGAUGUAAGUCUGAGGUGAAAACCCGAAGCUCAACUUCGGGACUGCCUUGGAUACUGCGUCACUUGAGGAUAGGAGAGGCAAGGGGAAUUCCACGUGUAGCGGUGAAAUGCGUAGAGAUGUGGAGGAACACCUGUGGCGAAGGCGCCUUGCUGGCCUAUUUCUGACGCUGAGGCGCGAAAGCGUGGGGAGCAAACAGG